GUGCUCAUAUCUGUAGCACAUAUACUAUAUUGGAAGGAUACAGAGAAGAUUAGCAUGGACCCUGUGAAAGGAUGCCUUGCAAACUCAUGAAGUAUUCUAUAUUUUU